GUUCCACUGAUGAAUCCCAAAUAGGACAAAACGUGCGUCCUGGAU
rnacentral:hammerhead_ribozyme from 1 species